AAGAAAUUAGUUAAAUAAAUAUAACGCUUGUUUGUCAUGCAAAAAUUAUCUUAAAGAUAUUUCUUA
rnacentral:tRNA from 1 species